CAAUAGCGUAUAUUAACGUUGUUGCAGUUAAAAAGCUCGUAGUUGGAUUUCUGGAGGGAGCGUCGGCCCGUAUUUACGAGUGCGUGACGUCUCUGUCCAUCCUUGCGGGAAGGCACGGCAUUGGUUUGUUGUGUCGGAUCGCAUCAUUUACUGUGAAAAAAUUAGAGUGUUCAAAGCAGGCUUUCGCUUGAAUACAUUAGCAUGGAAUAAUAAGAUAGGACUUUGGUGCUAUUUUGUUGGUUGAGCCUAAAGUAAUGAUUAAUAGGGAUAGUUGGGGGCACCUGUAUUGCGUUGUCAGAGGUGAAAUUCUUGGAUUUACGCAAGACAAACAGCUGCGAAAGCAUUUGCCAAGGAUGUUUUCAUUGA
rnacentral:rRNA from 1 species